CUAAGCCAUGCGAGUCGAGAGGGUUCGGCCCUCGGCGGACUGCUCAGUAACACGUGGAUAAUUUGCCCUUAGGUGGAGGAUAAUCUCGGGAAACUGAGAAUAAUACUCCAUAGAUCUAGGAUGCUGGAAUGCACUUAGAUUGAAAGUUCCGGCGCCUAAGGAUAAGUCUGCGGACUAUCAGGUUGUAGUCAGGGUAAAGACCUGACUAGCCUACAACGGAUACGGGUUGUGAGAGCAAUAACCCGGAGACGAUAUCUGAGACACGAUAUCGGGCCCUACGGGGCGCAGCAGGCGCGAAACCUUCACACUGCGCGAAAGCGCGAUAAGGGGAUCCCAAGUGCCAGCUCGUAAGAGUUGGCUGUUUCUCUGUCUAAAAAGCAGAGAGAGUAAGGGCUGGGUAAGACGGGUGCCAGCCGCCGCGGGUAA
rnacentral:rRNA from 1 species